rnacentral:misc_RNA from 1 species
GAUGAAGAACGUAGCGAAACCCGAUAGUUAAUGUGAAUUGCAGAAUUCAGUGAAUCAUCGAGUCUUUGAACGCACAUUGCGCCCCCUGGUAUUCCGGGGGGCAUGCCUGUCCGAGCGUCAUUGCUGCCCUCAAGCACGGCUUGUGUGUUGGGCCUCCGUCCUCCUCCCGGGGGACGGGCCCGAAAGGCAGCGGCGGCACCGCGUCCGGUCCUCGAGCGUAUGGGGCUUCGUCACCCGCUCUUGUAGGCCCGGCCGGCGCUUGCCGACACAUCAAUCUUUUUUCCAGGUUGACCUCGGAUCAGGUAGGGAUACCCGCUGAACUUAAGCAUAUCAAUAAGCGGAGGA